UCCAUCCUUUAUCCAAUAAGGAUUUACAGUCUAAAGUUUAACUAUUAAACAGUUGACAGUUUAUACCCUCUUAUUUAAUUAAUCUCUUUAAGUCACCAAAUUAAUACCAAUUAAUUUAUGACUUAUAUUAAUCAAAUAACAAUAUUAUUAUUCUUUAUAUUAUUCUCAUAAUAUAUUAAUAAUAUUUAUUCUCUCUUAAUAAAUCAUCCUAUCAAGUUGCUAUGGUGAAGGCAACCCAAAAGGACCAUGCACAAUCGGGUCAAAUACUUGCCUAAUAUAGUUGCAGCCUUAGACACUAUUCCAACAGUCUCCCACUUGGAUAAGUCUAGUAACUAUAUGCACAAGUACAAUUCGAUUUGCAAUCGUAGCUCUCAAAGACGCUGUCAAACUCUGAUCUAAUCAAUCUUGUCCUUUAGAUAAGGGAUCGUACAGUCCUCUGUUAGAUAUCAUGCUGACAAUUCUAUGGAAUGAUUAGUCAAGCAUUUAGGUUUCUCGAUCUCUGAUUUAUUCGACAUAGAACUUAAUCGAACACAUCAAUUCAGUUUUGACCGGGCCCGGCACAUAAGUCAAAUCAAAUCAUCGAGCGGCCGAGAUAUCGCUUUUACCUUCUUAGAUAAAAGUUACAGAUAAACUUCGACUUAUAUGCAUUUACUUAUUCAUUAACCAACUAUACACAACAAUGCGUUUUAUAACACCGAGUUACUGAUGCGUUUUCGCAUUAUCAAUGUACAAUCAAUUAACAAAUAACAAACCAUAUAUCUAGGUUUUAAGACUAUAUGAUAUUAUCGUCUUGCGAUCACCCUUUUAUAUCAUAUUCCAUAAGGUGAUUCCAGCAAGCGCGGGUUUGUUCCAAUGCUCAAAACUAGUUCAUAAGCACUCAUGAACGUUGCAGCAACCCUUUGCUAUGUCUAACACCAUUUAGACAAUCUACACACCAAUUCAUGACAAUCUUCAUUCAUAUCUACUUCCAACAUAUGAACGAUUGUGGACAAUUUGAACAAUUCUAUUAUUCCUAAUAAUUUCAAUUAUUCUGGAAGUCAAAACAUGCAAAGUGAAACAAUAGUUAAACAAUUAACAUAAGACAGUAACAUUACUUAUAAAUAAAAGUCCUUUAUUUAAUCAUCUAAUGUUAAUUACAUUUAUCUAUUACACGUUUCUAAUACUAUCUAAUCUAUGCUAAUAUCAUCCUUCAGCCCAAUACUCCUAGCAUGCUGCAAGUGCUUAACCCUACUCAGUCCCUUCGUAAGCGGAUCUGCUGGGUUAUCUUCUGAUGAUAUCCUCUUCACUACGAGUUGUCCUUCUUCUACACGAUGUCUAAUGAAGUGAUACUUUCUGUCGAUAUGUCUUGAUCUACCAUGAUCCCUCGGUUCCUUGGUUAAGGCAACCGCGCCUUCGUUAUCACAGAAAAUCUCCAUUGGCUCCUUUAUGGCAGGUACAACUCCAAGAUCACCGAUGAAGUUCUUUAGCCAUAUUGCCUCCUUCGACGCUUCGCUCGCUGCAAUGUACUCUGAUUCGCACGUUGAAUCAGCUACGGUUUCCUGCUUGGAACUCUUCCAUGUCACUGCUCCUCCAUUUAGGGUAAAGACCCAGCCCGACUGCGAACGGUAGUUGUCCCUGUCGGUCUGAAAACUGGCGUCACUAUACCCUCGCACCUUCAAGUCAUCACUCCCUCCGAGGACUAAGAACCAUUCCUUCGUCCUCCGAAGGUACUUAAGGAUAUUCUUCACCGCAAUCCAAUGUGCUUUGCCAGGAUUCCCUUGAUAUCUGCUAACCAUGCUCAAAGCGAAGGCUACAUCAGGGCGAGUACAAGUCAUAGCGUACAUGAUUGAGCCAACUGCGGAAGCGUAUGGUACUCGGCUCAUUUCUGCUAUCUCAGCUUCGGUACUCGGACUUUGAGUCUUACUCAAUUUGGCAUUACUUUGUAUCGGUAGUUCUCCCUUCUUUGAGUUUUCCAUACUAAAACGUUUUAGUACCUUCUCUAAGUAAGUAUUCUGACUAAGUCCAAUUAGUCUCUUACUUCUUUCUCUUACUAUCCUUAUUCCCAAAAUGUAAGAAGCCUCUCCGAGGUCCUUCAUAGCGAAGCACUUCCCGAGCCAGGACUUAACCUCCUGCAGAGUCGGGAUGUCGUUUCCUAUGAGUAAUAUGUCAUCGACAUAUAGAACGAGGAAGCUUACUAUACUCCCACUGGCUUUGACAUAUACACAAGAUUCGUCUUCGCUUCGUACAAAUCCAAACUCUUUGACUUUCUCAUCGAAGCAAAGAUUCCAUCUGCGAGACGCUUGCUUAAGUCCAUAAAUGGACUUCUCAAGCUUACACACUCUAUCCGGAUGCUUCGGAUCCACAAACCCCUCUGGCUGAGCCAUGUAAACAUCCUCAGCCAACUUUCCGUUAAGGAAAGCGGUCUUGACAUCCAUUUGCCAAAUCUCAUAAUCAUGAAAUGCGGCAAUAGCUAGCAUCACUCUAAUAGAUUUAAUCUUCGCAACUGGUGAGAAGGUCUCAUCAUAGUCAACUCCGGGAGUUUGAGUAAAGCCCUUCGCAACCAAUCGCGCUUUAUAUGUGUGUACGUUUCCAUCCACGUCGGUCUUCUUCUUGAAGAUCCAUUUGCACCCAACGGUCUUACGUCCGGGCACAUAAUCAACCAAAUUCCAAACUUGGUUAUCAUACAUGGAUUGGAUCUCGCUAUCCAUUGCCUCUUUCCAUUUUGCAGACUCCGGGCCUGCCAUGGCUUCCUUAUAGCUAUUAGGUUCAUCAAGAUUUACUAGUGUACCAUCACUAAUAUACGUGUCCCCUUCGGUAGUAAUAUGAAAACCAUAAAACUGGGGAUGAACUCUAACUCUAUCGGAACGUCUAAGAGGUAAGGAUUCGUCAAUCGGUUCAACCGGAGUUUCCUCCUCGGGUUGAGUGCCAGCGGUAGAGGUUCCUUCAUCUAUCGACUCUUGAAUCUCUUCAAGUUCGAUUUGCCUCCCACUGUCUCCUUGGCUUAUGAGUUCUCGCUCUCGGAAAACUCCUCUCCUCGCAACGAAGACAACAUUGUCCUUCGGUCUAUAGAAGAGAUAUCCAAAGGAUGUCUGCGGGUAGCCGAUGAAAAUACAUCGCUCACUUCGAGGUUCAAGCUUGUCGUGAGUAUCUCGUCUUACGAAAGCCUCGCAACCCCAAACCUUGAUAUGUGCCAACGAGGGAGCUUUCCCUGUCCACAUCUCGUGAGGUGUUUUGGCAACCUUCUUAGUAGGGACUCGGUUAAGGAUAUGGGCGGCAGUCUCUAAGGCAUACCCCCAAAAAGAGAUAGGUAGUGAAGCACGACUCAUCAUAGAGCGAACCAUAUCCAAUAAGGUUCGAUUACGCCUUUCUGCCACACCAUUCAACUGCGGUGUCCUAGGAGGCGUCAAUUGUGAAACUAUUCCACACUCCUUGAGAUAAUCGUGGAAUUCAAGACUUAGGUACUCUCCUCCUCGAUCGGAUCGAAGCAUCUUGAUUUUCCUGCCCAAUUGAUUCUCCACUUCAUUCUUGAACUCUUUGAACUUUUCAAAGGUUUCUGACUUUUGCUUGAUUAAAUAGAUAUACCCAUAUCUACUAUAAUCAUCGGUAAAAGUCACGUAGAAGCGGUUCCCAUCCUUCGUGGUUGAUCUAAACGGUCCACAUACAUCGGUAUGUAUUAGGUCCAAUAGACCCUCACCCCUUUCACAUGUACUCGUGAAGGGUGACUUAGUCAUCUUUCCAAGUAAACAAGACUCGCAUGUGUCAUCUUCCCUAAGGUCGAAUGACUCCAACACUCCAUCCUUUUGGAGUUGGGCUAUGCGUUUCUUGUUGACAUGUCCAAGACGACAAUGCCACAAGGAUGCUUUAUCCAUACUAGUGGAAGAAUCUAUGUUCAAAACAUCAUUUCCUAAGUUAUCAACAAUCAUAACAGUUUCAUAUAUUCCAUUACAUGGUAUAGCUUCAAAGUAAAAGACACCAUUUAGAUAAGCCAAAAUAGAACCAUUCUCAUUAUUAAAAGAAAAUCUAAAACCUUGUCUAUAUAAACCAUGAAAUGAAAUGAUGUUUCUAGCCAUUUCUGGCGAAUAGCAACAAUUGUUCAAAUCUAAACAUAAAUUAUUCCUAAGCACUAAAGAAUACACUCCAAUCUUGGUCACAGGCGACGAUCUUCUGUUCCCCAUGAUUAGAUUGAUCCUUCCUUGCUCCACAUCCCUACUUCUUCUUAGUCCCUGCACAUUAGAACAAAUGUGGUAACCACAACCGGUAUCAAGAACCCAAGAAAUAGCAUGAUUAGAAUCGUUAGAUUUAAUUGUGUAUAUACCUGCGAAAGAUGGCUUGAUCUUUCCUUCUUUGAUUGCUUGCAGGUACUCUGGGCAGCUUCUCUUCCAAUGUCCUAUCUUGUGGCAGUGGUGGCACUCUGCCUCCUUAGGGUUAGGGCAGGGCUUAGCGGGAUCAACUUUGGUCCCACUAGAAGAGGCACCAUCUCGGGCUUUAACCUUGCGAUAGUUCUUAGACGAAGCCUUCCUCUUCUUUCCCUUUCCUUGACCAAUAGCCAAGACAGGAGCAGCGGGUGGAUUGGGAGUUGGUGCAACAGACUUGUCUUUGAAGUUGCUCUCAGCGACCCUCAAGAGACCUUGGAGUUUGCUUAGGGUGACCUCCUCUUUGUUCAUGUGGUAGGUCAUCCUAAAUUGAUUGUACAUCGGAGGCAAAGAGUGAAGCACCAUGUCGAUCGCCAAGUCUUCCCCAAAGUCAACAUUUAACUUGCGAAGGCGGUCGACAUACCUUUGCAUCUUUUGCAGGUGCACGGUAAGAGACUCUCCAUGACCCAUCUUAGCGGAAAUCAUGUUAGUGAAAAUCUCAUAACGCUCUUGUCUCGCGUUUUGGUGGUAUCUCUCCAAUAAGUCUUGAUGCAUCUCGUACGGGUACAUGUCCUCGUAGGACUUUUGGAAUUCGGAGUUCAUGGUGGCUAUCAUGAUGCAAUGUACCUUCGUUGCAUCGCGCUCAUGAGUUUCAAAAGCGGUCAUUUCAGCCGGAGUAGCGAUUUCAGGGUUGAUUUUCUCGAGCUUCUCAUCGAGGACAUACUCCUUAUCCUCAUAGCGAGCAAUGGUGCGAAUGUAUCUUAUCCAUUCGCUAAAGUUCGUUCCAUCGAAGGUGACCUUUUGGCAAAGGCUCAUCAACGUGAAAGAACUAGCAGCAGCGUUGUUUGCGUUCGACAUCUACAAAUAGAAAGGACAAAGAUAGAUUAGAAUAAGAAUCCCUAAUUAUCACCCAAUAAGAAAAAUUAGGGCUAGGAUCCAACAACAACAUUUACAUAUUAGAAAAGGGAUGCCGUAAUCUAACAUGCAAAUAAAUUGAAGGUAAGUGAAUGACGAUUCACUAAUUCUCCACCCUUAAAACCUAACUAUAAGUCCUAAAUGUAUUGAGAAUUCCUAGGUUCGGAUGAGAUUCAUUGAAACUAUUCAAUGGCAUGUUUAAAUCUCGAUAUGCCCCUCUUGUUUGUGACUGGGAUACCGAGGAUCACAAAGCGGGUGUGAAUUACCAUGCAAAUUCACAUGGUGCCUUCAUUGUAACGAUCACCUAUUCGAUGUGCCGGUAAACCACACACGCUCCAUCGAACUAUGAUAAACAAUGAAUCACCCUUUGCCACCUUUGCUUAGAACCAAUUAGUGUGCCGGUAAACCACACACGCUCCACUAACUUCUUAGCAAGGGUGCAAAGUGUAAUUUCAUGGGAUUGCAUCAAUUCACUUUUCCUAAAGUAACUAUGAUUGGGAAAUUUUAAAAUAUGUGUAGUUACUUUGUAUUUCUUAUUAUACUUUUAAUGAGAGGAUGAGGUUGCCCUAUCCUACCCGUUCGGCUAACGACCCUCCACCAAUCAAGCAAGCGGUGGGUGUGAGUGUACACCCAUUAAGCGCCAUUUUAUAGGCCGCAACCUUAUACCCACCUUAUAGAUCGGCUUCGUGAAUGAGGCCUACUAACGGUAAGACUAGCAUUUUAGUUAUAUAUAUAUAUAUAUAUUAUUCUUGUAAUAUUAUAUUAGUAUAGGGUUGUAUUUUAAACUUUUUAAAAUCUAGGGUUUGAAAUUUAAAUUGUCUAAAUUAAAACUUUUAAUCACAAAAUAUAAAUUUCAAAACUUGAGGACAAGUUUUAAACAUUUAAAACAUGGAGGAUCAAAUAACAAAUAAUUUCAAUUAACAAUUAAUUUCCUAAUUAUCUAUAUUUGAUUUAUUCAAGAUUUCUUUCAAGAUAAUUACCAAAAUAAUCAAAAUAAUUAAUUAAUUAUCAUAUAAGGAAAUUAAAUAUUUUAUUAGUUGAUAAAUAUCUUUAAUUAGAUCAAGAUUAUAGUCAUAUAUAUCAAAAAAUCGGAUUAGGGUUGAUCUAAUAUGAUUAAGGUAAGUUUCCAUAAGAUAAUCAUGAAGAAAUCCCGAAUCUGGCCAUUCCUGACGCUUGGACUCGCCGAGUGCACCAAGGGACUCGCCGAGUCAGGCCAACUCGCCGAGUCCAUGACUCAGAAACACAAAAAUCGAAUUUUGCAGUUUAGUUUCAAACAAUCAAGCAACAAUUUAAUGAAAACCAAGCUAGGCUCUGAUACCACUGAUGGGUUUUAGCCAUAAGAACUUUCCUAUGUGCGCAUGCAAAACCCUAAUGCUUGGAUCUAGGCUUUCUAAUUAAACAUGCUUUGAAUCCAAGACUUCUAAUGACUAAUUAGGUAUAAGAACAAUACAAAAUCAGAUCUAGAAUCAUACCUUUGAAUCUCUUGUUUGAUCUUGUUGUCUUGGAGCUCUAGAGUCACAAUUGUCACUCCUCUAAUGGCUUACAAACACCAAAUAGCAAGGAGGAUGAUUUGAGAGAGAGGAGAGGGGAGGGAAUUCGGCCAGGGGUUCUCUACUUUAGAUGAAGUGCCGAUUUCCCUUUGCCAUAGGGUCUAUUUAUACUUGUAGACUCCUUAAGGGUUACAACUUAAACCCUAGUUGGAUAAUCUUCUCUUAAAGCAAUCCAAAUCCAUUCCUUAGAUAACCUUGGACGAUUUUAAGCUAUCCCUAGCUUCUAGAAUUCGUCCAUCCUUUAUCCAAUAAGGAUUUACAGUCUAAAGUUUAACUAUCAAACAAUUGACAGUUUAUACCCUCUUAUUUAAUUAAUCUCUUUAAGUCACCAAAUUAAUACCAAUUAAUUUAUGACUUAUAUUAAUCAAAUAACAAUAUUAUUAUUCUUUAUAUUAUUCUCAUAAUAUAUUAAUAAUAUUUAUUCUCUCUUAAUAAAUCAUCCUAUCAAGUUGCUAUGGUGAAGGCAACCCAAAAGGACCAUGCACAAUCGGGUCAAAUAUUUGCCUAAUAUAGUUGCAGCCUUAGACACUAUUCCAACAGUCUCCCACUUGGAUAAGUCUAGUAACUAUAUGCACAAGUACAAUUCGAUUUGCAAUCGUAGCUCUCAAACACACUGUCAAACUCUGAUCUAAUCAAUCUUGUCCUUUAGAUGAGGGAUCGUACAGUCCUCUGUUAGAUAUCAUGCUGACAAUUCUAUGGAAUGAUCAGUCAAGCAUUUAGGUUUCUCGAUCUCUGAUUUAUUUGACAUAGAACUUAAUCGAACACAUCAAUUCAGUUCUGACCGGGCCCGACACAUAAGUCAAAUCAAAUCAUCGAGCGGCCGAGAUUUGUCCAAGCUUCAAGUUACUUCCCAUGUUUUGCUUAUGGGAGGACGUUAGAGCAUUAAAAUAUAACAUUUUGUCUUGCAUGCCAUGUUGACAUCAGGUUCACAAUGAUUGUAGUUGAGACGUAUGUAGUUAGCACUUAGUAGUGUUAGAGGUGUGAGACCU
rnacentral:lncRNA from 1 species